ACCCGGGGAAACUGAGGCAGCCGGCCGCGCGGCGCCAACCCUGCUGGGACGGCUCGAAUGUCAGCUCCCCGUGGCGCGUUCAGUUCUACGUGCAGCUCUCUCUGGUUUCUCAGGAGGGAGGUAAUGUGGCCUGGUAUUCCCAUCUCAGUAAGAAUAGGAAGAGGAAGGUAACAGACAAUAAAUCAUUAAACAAAUGGCGAAUGGCACAAGUUAUACCGUUUCCUGAGAGAACUGAGAACUGUGAUGUGUUCUGCGGUUUAGAUGAGGAUCUGGUCUGGUAAGGGCCAAAGUAAGAAGUGGAAACUUUCUUUGAAUAUAGUGGUUGGUGGUCAGGAAAGUCUCUGCGGAUGUAACCUUUACUUGUGUCCAAAAUGAUGAGAAAGAACCAGCUAUGCGAAGAGCUGUGGAAGUGUCUUUGCAGAAGGAGGAACUGAAGGUGCAAAGCCCUAAAGUGGAAAACAAUUUGAUCAGUUUCAGAACAGAAGAGAAGCCUGUGUGAGAAAGAAAUCAAGUACUGUAAGAUGAAAUUACAAAACAAACAAGAGUAAAGGUCUCCUGGGCCUGAUGGGCCGUGGUAAGGAGUUUGAACUUCAUUUUAAGUCAAUGUACUGAUACAUAAUAAAAUGUCCUUGAUUGAAGAGACUGAAAUAAAAAGGAUCAA